GAGCCUACACCUUCAGGGAUCAAUUCUGUAGUUUGUCACUAGCGAAUUUUCUGGAGCACUAGAGGGGGCAGAGCGUCUCUUCUGAGCUUGGCUGCCACUUGGUGCUUCUCACUGCAACUUCCCUUUGACACCAAUGAUGCCUCUUUUCUCCUUUGGGGAGAGAAAGGGGGAAGAGGGAGAUGCUGUCUGA
rnacentral:snoRNA from 1 species